GUUUAAGUAGUAUAAUUAAUACAAUAUCUUUUCAUGAUAUAGAUGGGUUCCCCUUAAAUA
rnacentral:tRNA from 1 species